rnacentral:other from 1 species
UACAUCCUGCGAUGUGCGUUGCGGUUAUUUGUUGUUUUGAACCAAUGACAAUGUCUUGGGAGACUUAUAUGUCCAAGCGGCUGGAAAGCCCUAUCUAUACGAUCAGGGGAAUUCAUAAACUUGGCUGCGGUCACCCACCUGCUGAGCAGGUUCACGGACGCUGUAACCGGACGGCAUAUGCGGGACCUAC